CCUACGGGAGGCAGCAGUGGGGAAUAUUGGACAAUGGGCGAAAGCCUGAUCCAGCCAUGCCGCGUGUGUGAAGAAGGUCUUCGGAUUGUAAAGCACUUUAAGUUGGGAGGAAGGGCAGUAUCUUAAUGAGUUGCUGUUUUGACGUUACCGGCAGAAUAAGCCCCGNAU
rnacentral:rRNA from 1 species